UACGUAGGGUGCGAGCGUUAAUCGGAAUUACUGGGCGUAAAGCGUGCGCAGGCGGUUUUAUAAGCCAGAUGUGAAAUCCCCGGGCUUAACCUGGGAACUGCAUUUGGAACUGUAAGACUAGAGUACGGCAGAGGGGGGUAGAAUUCCACGUGUAGCAGUGAAAUGCGUAGAUAUGUGGAGGAAUACCGAUGGCGAAGGCAGCCCCCUGGGUCGAUACUGACGCUCAUGCACGAAAGCGUGGGGAGCAAACAGG
rnacentral:rRNA from 1 species